CUGUUUCUGUCUUGAACCUGAUUCUUUCUUCUUAUCUCCUUCCUGUGUCCACCUCAAGACUCCCACCACUACCCAGGACCAACUCCUGCUCCUGAAUCUUCUGAUGGGCCCCACAAGGUGACAGUGCUGGCUACAAUGCUAUCCAGCCGGUGGUGGCCAAGUUCCUGGGGGAUCCUAGGGCUGGGCCCCCGAAGCCCUCCUCGGGGAUCCCAGCUCUGUGCCCUCUAUGCCUUUACUUAUACUGGGGCAGAUGGCCAGCAGGUGUCUCUGGCUGAAGGGGACAGGUUCCUACUGCUUCGAAAGACCAACUCCGACUGGUGGUUGGCAAGACGCCUAGAAGCUCCCUCCACCUCUCGACCCAUCUUCGUCCCAGCAGCCUAUAUGAUAGAGGAAUCCAUCCCUUCCCAGAGUCCAACUACCGUCAUCCCCGGCCAAUUGCUCUGGACUCCUGGGCCGAAGUUGUUUCAUGGUUCCCUGGAGGAGUUUUCUCAGGCCCUCCCAAGCAGGGCUCAGGCUAGCUCGGAGCAGCCUCCUCCACUUCCCCCCAAAAUGUGUAGGAGCGUCAGCACUGACAAUCUGAGCCCCAGCCUUCUGAAGCCUUUCCAGGAAGGACCAAGCGGAAGAUCCCUCUCCCAGGAAGACUUGCCGUCAGAAGCCAGUGCCAGCACAGCAGGCCCCCAGCCCCUCAUGUCAGAGCCCCCUGUGUACUGUAACCUGGUGGACCUUCGCCGCUGUCCUCGGUCCCCACCCCCAGGCCCUGCAUGCCCCCUGCUGCAGAGGCUGGAUGCCUGGGAGCAGCACCUGGACCCCAACUCUGGACGCUGCUUCUACAUAAAUUCACUGACUGGCUGCAAGUCCUGGAAGCCCCCGCGCCGCAGUCGCAGCGAGACGAACCCUGGCUCCAUGGAGGGGACACAGACCCUGAAGAGGAACAAUGAUGUCCUGCAACCUCAGGCAAAGGGCUUCAGAUCUGACACAGGGACCCCAGAACCGCUUGACCCACAGGUGAGAUCCCUCCCAUCUCCCAGUCAUAUGCAGAAAAAGCCAGCUUGUUAUGACUUUCUGUUUUGUGUAAGACAUUCUCCAUUCCCCACCACACCCCCCACCUCUCACCCGUAUCCCACCCCUCUUCCUCCUUCAGCCAGGGAUCCCUGAGUCGAGCGUUUCCCCACCUGUUUCUCCAAUCCUCCCCCCUAGGGUUCACUCAGCCUCAGCCAACGCACCUCGCAGCUUGACCCUCCAGCCUUGCAGGCCCCUCGACCUCUGCCGCAGCUCCUGGACGACCCCCAUGUGAAUCUCCCAUUUCUUUGUGAAGGCCAAGACCCUCCCUGCCCCCCCUCCCCCCUUUUCCUGCUCCACAUAAACAUCUUCCUCUUUCUGAAUAUCCUCUUACCCAGCCCUCCCCCAGCAACUUUAAGGGACUUCACUCCU
rnacentral:sRNA from 1 species